rfam:Clostridium thermocellum ATCC 27405, complete genome.
GUUUUAAUUCCUCAUAGGCACGAUAAAAAC